rfam:Serratia marcescens FGI94, complete genome.
UAAUUGAAGAGUUUGAUCAUGGCUCAGAUUGAACGCUGGCGGCAGGCCUAACACAUGCAAGUCGAGCGGCAGCGGGAGGAAGCUUGCUUCCUCGCCGGCGAGCGGCGGACGGGUGAGUAAUGUCUGGGGAUCUGCCCGAUGGAGGGGGAUAACCACUGGAAACGGUGGCUAAUACCGCAUAACGUCGCAAGACCAAAGUGGGGGACCUUCGGGCCUCACACCAUCGGAUGAACCCAGAUGGGAUUAGCUAGUAGGUGGGGUAAUGGCUCACCUAGGCGACGAUCCCUAGCUGGUCUGAGAGGAUGACCAGCCACACUGGAACUGAGACACGGUCCAGACUCCUACGGGAGGCAGCAGUGGGGAAUAUUGCACAAUGGGCGCAAGCCUGAUGCAGCCAUGCCGCGUGUGUGAAGAAGGCCUUCGGGUUGUAAAGCACUUUCAGCGAGGAGGAAGGUGGUGAACUUAAUACGUUCAUCAAUUGACGUUACUCGCAGAAGAAGCACCGGCUAACUCCGUGCCAGCAGCCGCGGUAAUACGGAGGGUGCAAGCGUUAAUCGGAAUUACUGGGCGUAAAGCGCACGCAGGCGGUUUGUUAAGUCAGAUGUGAAAUCCCCGAGCUUAACUUGGGAACUGCAUUUGAAACUGGCAAGCUAGAGUCUCGUAGAGGGGGGUAGAAUUCCAGGUGUAGCGGUGAAAUGCGUAGAGAUCUGGAGGAAUACCGGUGGCGAAGGCGGCCCCCUGGACGAAGACUGACGCUCAGGUGCGAAAGCGUGGGGAGCAAACAGGAUUAGAUACCCUGGUAGUCCACGCCGUAAACGAUGUCGAUUUGGAGGUUGUGCCCUUGAGGCGUGGCUUCCGGAGCUAACGCGUUAAAUCGACCGCCUGGGGAGUACGGCCGCAAGGUUAAAACUCAAAUGAAUUGACGGGGGCCCGCACAAGCGGUGGAGCAUGUGGUUUAAUUCGAUGCAACGCGAAGAACCUUACCUACUCUUGACAUCCAGAGAACUUUCCAGAGAUGGAUUGGUGCCUUCGGGAACUCUGAGACAGGUGCUGCAUGGCUGUCGUCAGCUCGUGUUGUGAAAUGUUGGGUUAAGUCCCGCAACGAGCGCAACCCUUAUCCUUUGUUGCCAGCGGUUAGGCCGGGAACUCAAAGGAGACUGCCAGUGAUAAACUGGAGGAAGGUGGGGAUGACGUCAAGUCAUCAUGGCCCUUACGAGUAGGGCUACACACGUGCUACAAUGGCGUAUACAAAGAGAAGCGAACCUGCGAAGGCAAGCGGACCUCAUAAAGUACGUCGUAGUCCGGAUUGGAGUCUGCAACUCGACUCCAUGAAGUCGGAAUCGCUAGUAAUCGUAGAUCAGAAUGCUACGGUGAAUACGUUCCCGGGCCUUGUACACACCGCCCGUCACACCAUGGGAGUGGGUUGCAAAAGAAGUAGGUAGCUUAACCUUCGGGAGGGCGCUUACCACUUUGUGAUUCAUGACUGGGGUGAAGUCGUAACAAGGUAACCGUAGGGGAACCUGCGGUUGGAUCACCUCCUUA